rnacentral:lncRNA from 1 species
AUGCCAAAUAGUAAUCUUUUUGAAGCUCUUCAUAGAAAUAUAAAAGAUGAGAACGUUUAUUGGCAUUGGAAUCAGAGGUAUAAAUUGCAUUGGGAGCUGCAAGCAAUAGGGAUUUGCUAUUUGUACCACGAUUGUUCUCCACCUGUUAUUCGUAGGGAUAUAAAAUCUAGCUGCAUCUUGCUUGAUGAAGAUUAUGAGGCAAAAAGCGCUGAAUUCGGUGUUACAAGGUUUGCUGGGAGACAUGGUUAUAUUGCUCCAGUUUGGUGUGCGUCUACAUGUCCGAGUUGGAUACUAAUAUAG